GAAAACUAUGCAACAGGGAUCAUGCCCACCAGAAGCAGUUUGUGUUCAGCUGGCAAGGCUAUCACCUUCAUUGUCCUAUCUCAAAGAUUUUCUGGUCAGUGGAGUUGGAAUGAGAAAAAUCAAUCAGUGCCCUACCAAUGCAUCAUCCAGCAAGACUAAGAAAUCCUCAACUACUGGGACAAGGUGGGAGAAUAUUUCAUUUCUUUACCAGUGUCUGUCCUCUGGCUCAGUGACUCCCAGAACUUGACUCAUCAGAAAACCAGGGAUCCAUGACUCAAUGAGUGAAUACCAUCUUGUCCUGAGUUCCCACAUGCCAUCAUGAUGACCAUCCUAUGCAAUUUGGAAUUUUGGCCCUAAAUGAUCUUUCUCAACAAAUCAGAUGUAGUACAACAUGAAGAAAUGGGAGUUUACCAAGAAAAUUGUGGAACACAAAUACCAGAGACCUGGGUCCUCA
rnacentral:lncRNA from 1 species